rnacentral:sRNA from 1 species
GGCUGAGUGGUAGUCCACUGUAUAAAAAGACCACAUCUGAUUGAACUUGUUCUGCUCUUUCCCCCCUUCUCACUACUGCACUUGACUAGUCUAAA